UACGUAGGUGGCAAGCGUUGUCCGGAUUUACUGGGCGUAAAGAGCGCGCAGGCGGUCGUUCAAGUCGCGUGUGAAAGCCCCCGGCUCAACUGGGGAGGGUCACGCGAUACCGAUCGACUCGAAGGCAGGAGAGGGAAGUGGAAUUCCCGGUGUAGUGGUGAAAUGCGUAGAUAUCGGGAGGAACACCAGUGGCGAAGGCGACUUCCUGGCCUGUUCUUGACGCUGAGGCGCGAAAGCUAGGGGAGCAAACGGG
rnacentral:rRNA from 1 species